AGUCAUAUGCUUAUCUCCAAGAUUAAGCCAUGCAUGCCUAAGUUCAAACUCUUGAAAGGUUAAACCGUGAAUGGCUCAUUAUAACAGCUACGAUUUAAGAGAGUUACGCAAAUUUGCCAUAGGAUAACUGUGGUAAUUCUAGAGCUAAUACAUUAGAAUAGUGCGACUCACGAAGCACUGGAUUUAUUAGUUCAAAACCAAUCAGUCAUUUAUGACUGCGUUUUGAUGACUCUGGAUAACUUACCUAAUCGCAUGACCUUGUGUUGGCGAUUCAUCUCUUAAAGUGGCUGACCUAUCAACUAUCGUUGGUAAGUUAACAGCUUACCAUGGUGAUAACGGGUAACGGGGAAUCAGGGUUCGAUUCCGGAGAGGGAGCCUGAGAAACGGCUACCACAUCCACGGAUGGCAGCAGGCGCGUAACAUGCCCACUGCUCGAUGAGCGAGGCUGUGACGAUAAAUAACAAUAUGAGCCCUUGUGGUUUCAUAAUUGGAAUGAGAUAACUUUAAAUACUUUAACGAGUAACAAUUGGAGGGCAAGUCUGGUGCCAGCAGCCGCGGUAAUUCCAGCUCCAAUAGCGUAUAUUAAAGUUGUUGCAGUUAAAAAGCUCGUAGUUGAAAUUGAGGUGUUAAUUUUUCAGUUCGCUGCCUUUGGUUAGUAGCUGAAAACGCCUUCUCAGUCGUGUACGCUUCUGAUGCCCUUCACUUUGGGUGUUGGAAGAGACCGACAACUUUACUUUGAAAAAAUUAGAGUGCUUAAAGCAGACUAUUGUCUGAAUAUUGUUGCAUGGAAUAAUAGAAUAGGACUUCGGUUCUAUUUUGUUGGUUUUCGGAACUGAAGUAAUGAUUGAAAGAGACUGCCGGGGGCAUAUGUAUGCUGUUAGGAGAGGUGAAAUUCUAGGAUUAACAGCAGACAACCUACUGCGAAAGCAUUUGCCAAGAAUGUUUUCAUUAAUCAAGAACGAAAGUCAGAGGAUCGAAGACGAUCAGAUACCGUCCUAGUUCUGACCAUAAACUAUGCCAACUGACGAUUCGCUCAGGCAUCAUAUAUUGCCUUGCGAGCAGUCACCGGGAAACCAAAGUCUUUGGGUUCCGGGGGAAGUAUGGUUGCAAAGCUGAAACUUAAAGGAAUUGACGGAAGGGCACCACCAGGAGUGGAGCCUGCGGCUUAAUUUGACUCAACACGGGAAAUCUCACCCGGUCCGGACACUGUGAGGAUUGACAGAUUGAUAGCUCUUUCUUGAUUCAGUGGGUGGUGGUGCAUGGCCGUUCUUAGUUGGUGGAGUGAUCUGUCUGGUUGAUUCCGAUAACGAACGAGACUCUAACCUGCUAACUAGUACAUGUGUGUUUUAAUAGCACAUGCUGACUUCUUAGAGGAAUUACUGGCGUUUAGCCAAAUGAAAAGGAGCAAUAACAGGUCUGUGAUGCCCUUAGAUGUCCGGGGCCGCACGCGCGCUACAAUGGCAGUCCCAGCGAGUGUACAAUCCUAGCCUGAAAGGGCUGGGUAACCUGCUAAAUGACUGUCGUAUCUGGAAUAGUGGUUUGAAAUUUUUCCACUUGAACCAGGAAUUCCUAGUAAGUGCAAGUCACUAGCUUGCGCUGAUUACGUCCCUGCCCUUUGUACACACCGCCCGUCGCUACUACCGAUUGAAUGGUUUAGUGAGAUUGUUGGAUUCUAUCCUAAGAAGCGUUAACGCGUUUCUAUGGACUGAAGAAGACACUCAAACUUGAUCAUUUAGAGGAAGUAAAAGUCGUAACAAGCUUUCC
rnacentral:rRNA from 1 species